AGUGAACGCUGGCGGUAGGCCUAACACAUGCAAGUCGAACGGCAGCACAGUAAGAGCUUGCUCUUACGGGUGGCGAGUGGCGGACGGGUGAGGAAUACAUCGGAAUCUACUUUUUCGUGGGGGAUAACGUAGGGAAACUUACGCUAAUACCGCAUACGACCUACGGGUGAAAGCAGGGGAUCUUCGGACCUUGCGCGGUUGAAUGAGCCGAUGUCGGAUUAGCUAGUUGGCGGGGUAAAGGCCCACCAAGGCGACGAUCCGUAGCUGGUCUGAGAGGAUGGUCAGCCACAUUGGAAGUGAGCCAGGCACCAUACUCCUACGGGAGGGAGCAGUGGGGUACAUGGGACAAUGGUGGCAAGUCUUAUCCAGUCAGAGCGCGCGUGUGAAGAAGGCGUCCGGGGUGUAAAGACGGUUUGUUGGUAAAAAAAAGCAGCAGCUUAAGACCCCGCGGUUCUGACGGUACCCGAAGAAGAAGCACCGGCUAACUACGUG
rnacentral:rRNA from 1 species